UAGUUUUUUUAGAAAUAAAUUUAAUUUACAAAUUUUUAAUUUUUAGGUUUUUUUGAAAAAAUAAAAAUUUAUUAAUUUGAAUAUUUUAAGGGAUAAGCUUUAAAAUAAAUAAUUAAAAAUUUAAAUAAGUUAUUAAAAAUGUAUGUGUAGAAUUAGCAAUCAUUUAUAAAUUUGUUAUAAAUUAUUUUAUAAAUAUUAUUAUUUAUUUUGUUUUAAUUUAUUUAUAAGAAUUUUUUUAUUAAUUUUACAUGAAAAGUAAUAAUGAUUUAAUUAGUAUAUAAUAACAUUUUGUUUUAGUAUAUUUUGUUGAAAAGUUUAUGUAAAGAACUCGGCAAAUUUUAUACUCGCCUGUUUAACAAAAACAUGUCUUUUUGAAUUUAAUUUAAAGUCUGACCUGCCCACUGAGUGAAUUUAAAUGGCCGCAGUAUUUUGACUGUGCAAAGGUAGCAUAANCAUUUGUCUUUUAAUUGAAGGCUGGUAUGAAUGGUUGGACGAAGUAUAAACUGUUUCAUAUAAAAUUAUUAUAGAAUUUUAUAUUUUAGUAAAAAAGCUAAAAUUUUAUUAAAAGACGAGAAGACCCUAUAAAUCUUUAUAUCUUAUUUUAUUUAAGUUUUUUAGAUUUAUUUUAUUUUUAUAUUAUGAGGUAUUUUGUUGGGGUGAUGUUAAAAUUUAAUGAACUUUUAAUAAUUUAAGAUCAUUAAUUUAUGAAUUGUUGAUCCAUUAAUAUUGAUUAUAAGAUUAAGUUACUUUAGGGAUAACAGCGUAAUUUUUUUUGAGAGUUCAUAUCGACAGAAAAGUUUGCGACCUCGAUGUUGGAUUAAGGUGUAAUUUUGGGUGUAGCCGUUCAAGUAUUAAGUCUGUUCGACUUUUA
rnacentral:rRNA from 1 species